rfam:Ovis aries breed Texel chromosome 2, whole genome shotgun sequence.
UUCCUGGUGGUCUAGUAGUUAAGAUUCUGUACUCCUAAUGCAGGGGGCACAGGUUUGAUCCCUGGUCGGGGAA